ACCGCCAGGGGCCGAGCGGCCCCGCCUCUUACGCCGGGAAGGAGCUGCAAAACUGCGGCCGGGUGUUCCUACCCAUGUGUACUCCUCGGAUCCUUUUAACUUCCUGUGACCGUCCUCAACUGCCACCCCAGCUUCCAAGUGGAGGUCCGCCACUGUUUAUUGGCUGUCUGCUGAGUACCAUUCGCUGAGUUGAACGCCAAGGAUUCCGUAUUAAGCAUACAGCAAUCCAUUCUAUGCUAGAGAUGAGCGCAUGUCCUUCUACUGGACUAUCUUGAACCAGAAGCCAGAAGCGCAGUCUUAACCACUGGACCACCAGAGAAGUCCUAAUACCCCCAUGUUUUUAAAUUGAUGUUUCAUGUGUGAAUAAUAAUAACAAAAGUUACUUUGUGCCAAGCAUUAUCUUAAAAUUCUUCAACUCUA